rnacentral:lncRNA from 1 species
AGGGGAUUCUCUUUUCCUGGUUCAGCCUCUGUCUUACGUCCUGUGUUCCUGGGUUUAGGAACUGAGCUUUCUAUGUGAUCCAGCUUCUUCCCCAGUGAUGGAGGCUCUCUAACUGUCUGGUUUCAAGAUGAUUUUUCUGCACUUCUCCAAGCUUUACCGCGGGUGAACAACAGCAUGCGCACACGCUGCCCCCAGGAUGCAGGAAAUGCUUUUUGCUUUGGCACAGAUAGCUGGAGAAAUUGGAAAUUUGGAAACAAGUCAGAAACAAACGGUUAUUGAGUUCCUGUGUGACAAGCUAUUGCUGUAUGUGCUUGGGGUAAACGAUGGCACGGAGGACGCUGGCUCCUGCUGUGGGGAGAUUGAUUUACUGUGCACAGACAUUUGCUGCCCUUCCGCAUGUACGUGUUGGGCAUCUACCAAGUACCUGAGGACAUGCCAGGCAUUGAGGCUGAUGGAUGCGGCAGACAGGAGUCCUGCGGCUCCAGCUGAGGGCCUUAGCUGGCACGGCUGUCCUGACGUGGGCUGCCUUCCAUGGGCUGCAGAGGUCCAUCUCCAACCACCAGCCACUCAGGGACCCUGACAGCUGCUGGCAGUCUGCGUCCCCGCCACCGUCUG